UACGAAGGGGGCUAGCGUUGCUCGGAUUUACUGGGCGUAAAGGGCGCGUAGGCGGAUGUUUAAGUCGGGGGUGAAAGCCCGGGGCUCAACCUCGGAAUAGCCUUCGAUACUGGACGUCUUGAGUACGGGAGAGGUGAGUGGAACUCCGAGUGUAGAGGUGAAAUUCGUAGAUAUUCGGAAGAACACCAGUGGCGAAGGCGACUCACUGGCCCGUUACUGACGCUGAGGCGCGAAAGCGUGGGGAGCAAACAGG
rnacentral:rRNA from 1 species